rnacentral:rRNA from 1 species
UACGGAGGGGGCUAGCGUUGUUCGGAAUUACUGGGCGUAAAGCGCACGUAGGCGGCUUUGUAAGUUAGAGGUGAAAGCCCAGGGCUUAACCCUGGAAUUGCCUUUAAGACUGCAUCGCUAGAAUUGUGGAGAGGUAAGUGGAAUUCCGAGUGUAGAGGUGAAAUUCGUAGAUAUUCGGAAGAACACCAGUGGCGAAGGCGACUUACUGGACACAUAUUGACGCUGAGGUGCGAAAGCGUGGGGAGCGAACAGG